GAUGAAGAACGCAGCGAAAUGCGAUAAGUAAUGUGAAUUGCAGAAUUCAGUGAAUCAUCGAAUCUUUGAACGCACAUUGCGCCCCUUGGUAUUCCGAGGGGCAUGCCUGUUCGAGCGUCAUUAUCACCCCUCAAGCUUUGCUUGGUGUUGGGGCCUGCUAUAAUAGGCAGCCCUUAAAAUCAGUGGCGGUGCUUCAAGGCUCUAAGCGUAGUAAUUCUCCUCGCUAUAGUGUCUAGUGGUUGCCAGCCAGAACCCCCCAAUUUUCAUGAUUGACCUCGGAUCAGGUAGGGAUACCCGCUGAACUUAAGCAUAUCAAUAAGCGGAGGA
rnacentral:misc_RNA from 1 species